rnacentral:piRNA from 1 species
UACUCUUGUUGCUAGGCUGAUUGGAAAGGC